AUAGCUCAGAUGGGAGAACGUUAGACUGAAGAUCUAGAGGUCACCAGUUCGAUCCUGGUU
rnacentral:tRNA from 1 species